rnacentral:rRNA from 1 species
AAGUCGUAACAAGGUCUCCGUAGGUGAACCUGCGGAGGGAUCAUCACAAGAACGCCCGGGCUUCGGCCUGGUUAUUCAUAACCCUUUGUUGUCCGACUCUGUUGCCUCCGGGGCGACCCUGCCUUCGGGCGGGGGCUCCGGGUGGACACUUCAAACUCUUGCGUAACUUUGCAGUCUGAGUAAACUUAAUUAAUAAAUUAAAACUUUUAACAACGGAUCUCUUGGUUCUGGCAUCGAUGAAGAACGCAGCGAAAUGCGAUAAGUAAUGUGAAUUGCAGAAUUCAGUGAAUCAUCGAAUCUUUGAACGCACAUUGCGCCCCCUGGUAUUCCGGGGGGCAUGCCUGUUCGAGCGUCAUUUCACCACUCAAGCCUCGCUUGGUAUUGGGCAACGCGGUCCGCCGCGUGCCUCAAAUCGUCCGGCUGGGUCUUCUGUCCCCUAAGCGUUGUGGAAACUAUUCGCUAAAGGGUGUUCGGGAGGCUACGCCGUAAAACAACCCCAUUUCUAAGGUUGACCUCGGAUCAGGUAGGGAUACCCGCUGAACUUAA